GGGCUUGUACUGGUUUCGACGGGGGUCUGGAAGUUGGGGAAGCCAUCCGUAGCGGGACACUACGUUAAAAGUUCCACUUAAAUAUAAACGCAGACGAUAGACAGUUAGCGUACGCUGCCUAAUUUUGGCAGUAGUCGGCCUUAGGUCAUCCGCUGCUUAAGUCACCGGCUUCAAAAAAGGCGGAGCACUUCACCUCCAAAGCUUUGAGGAGAUGGAAGAACUUAUGAAGCUACUGAAGUCAGAAGCCUGUCAUUAGGCGUCUGGCCAAGGGAAUGUCAAAAUAAUGACUGUGAUGGGAGAUGCCCUGGUGGAUGGGCUUUCGGACGCGGGUUCGAUUCCCGCCAGGUCCACUU
rnacentral:tmRNA from 1 species